rnacentral:rRNA from 1 species
GUCGCUGGCUGUACCUGUUUGUCAUCUCGUCUGAUUUCAGAAGCUAAGCAGGGAUGGGUCUGGUUAGUACUUGGAUGGGAGACCUUUGGGAGUACCAUGUGUCGUACU